rnacentral:rRNA from 1 species
GACGAACGCUGGCGGCGUGCUUAACACAUGCAAGUCGAACGGAAAGGCCCCUUUGGGGGUACUCGAGUGGCGAACGGGUGAGUAACACGUGAGUAGCCUGCCCUUGACUUCGGGAUAACUUCAGGAAACUGGGGCUAAUACCGGAUAGGAAUCCUUGCUGCAUGGUGGGGGUUGGAAAGCUUCGGCGGUUUUGGAUGGACUCGCGGCUUAUCAGCUUGUUGGUGGGGUAGUGGCUUACCAAGGCUUUGUCGGGUAGCCGGCCUGAGAGGGCGACCGGCCACAUUGGGACUGAGAUACGGCCCAGACUCCUACGGGAGGCAGCAGUGGGGAAUAUUGCACAAUGGGCGGAAGCCUGAUGCAGCAACGCCGCGUGCGGGAUGACGGCCUUCGGGUUGUAAACCGCUUUCAGCAGGGGCGAAGCUUGUGGUGACGGUACCUGCAGAAGAAGCACCGGCUAACUACGUG